UUUUUGGAGCCUGUGGGCAUCAUCUACAACCCUGUGGAGUAUGCAUGGGAGCUGCAUCGCAACUACAUGAUUUGCUUCUGCCAAGGCCCCAAGGAAGUGCUUUUCCUGGGUAUGAACCCAGGGCCUUUCGGCAUGGCCCACACUGGGGUGCCCUUUGGGGAAGUAAACAUGGUCCAGGACUGGUUGAGCAUUCAGGGGCUGGUGCUGACUCCUCCCCAGGAGCACCCUAAGCGACCGGUGCUGGGACUAGAGUGCCCACAGUCAGAGGUGAGUGGUGCCUGAUUCUGGGGCUUUUCCCAGAACCUCUGUGGACAGCCUGAGGUCUUCUUCUGUCACUGCUUUGUCCAUAACCUGUGUCCUCUGCUCUUCCUGGCUUCCAGCGGGCGCAACCUCACCUCUGCCGAAGCUGCCUGCCAGGCAGCGAGAACAGCUUCUCAGGCUCUGUGAGGCGGCCCUCUGCCGGCAGGUGCAGCUGCUGGGGGUGUGGCUGGUGGUGGGAAUGGGGCGGCUGGCGGAUCAGCGGGCACGGCGGGCUCUGGCCGGCCUGACUCCAGAGGUCCAGGUGGAGGGGCUCCUGCACCCUUCUCCCCGGAAUCCGCAGGCCAACAAGGGCUGGGAGGCGGUGGCCAGGGAGAGGCUGGAGGAGUUGGGGCUGCUGCCACUGCUGUCGAAAUGAGUGCUCUGGGACUGGAUGGGACACCCAAGGCCUCUGAGUCAUCCUUGCAGCAGAUGCCAGUGCUCCUCCUGUGCUGGAGCAGAAGGUCCCCUGGGCU